rnacentral:rRNA from 1 species
AGCGAACGCUGGCGGCAGGCUUAACACAUGCAAGUCGAACGCCCCGCAAGGGGAGUGGCAGACGGGCGAGUAACACGUGGGAACGUACCCUUUGGUUCAGAAUAACUUGGGGAAACUCAAGCUAAUACCGGAUAAGCCCUUAUGGGGAAAGGUUUACUGCCGAAGGAUCGGCCCGCGUCUGAUUAGCUAGUUGGUGAGGUAAUGGCUCACCAAGGCGACGAUCAGUAGCCGGUCUGAGAGGAUGAUCAGCCACACUGGGACUGAGACACGGCCCAGACUCCUACGGGAGGCAGCAGUGGGGAAUAUUGGACAAUGGGGGCAACCCUGAUCCAGCCAUGCCGCGUGAGUGAUGAAGGCCUUAGGGUUGUAAAGCUCUUUUACCCGGGACGAUAAUGACUGUACCGGGAGAACAAGCCCCGGCUAACUUCGUGCCAGCAGCCGCGGUAA